AGAGCGAACGCUGGCGGCAGGCCUAACACAUGCAAGUCGAGCGCCCGUAGCAAUACGGGAGCGGCAGACGGGAUAGUAACACGUGGGAACGCGCCCUUCGGUUCGGAAUAACUCAGGGAAACUUGAGCUAAUACCGGAUACGCCCUUACGGGGAAAGAUUUAUUGCCGAAGGAACGGCCCGCGUCCGAUUAGCUAGUUGGUGAGGUAAUGGGCUCACCAAGGCGACGAUCGGUAGCUGGUCUGAGAGGAUGACCAGCAUCACUGGGACUGAGACACGGCCCAGACUCCUACGGGAGGCAGCAGUGGGGAAUAUUGGACAAUGGGCGCAAGCCUGAUCCAGCCAUGCCGCGUGGAUGAUGAAGGCCUUAGGGUUGUAAAGUCCUUUAACGGGGAAGAUAAUGACGGUACCGUAGAAUAAGCCCGGCUAACUUCGUGCCAGCAGCCGC
rnacentral:rRNA from 1 species